UACGGAGGGUGCAAGCGUAUCCGGAUUUACUGGGUUUAAAGGGUGCGUAGGCGGGUCUUUUAAGUCAGUGGUGAAAACUUCGAGCUUAACUCGAAAACUGCCAUUGAUACUAUUGAUCUUGAAUUUAGUUGAGGUUGGCGGAAUGUGUCGUGUAGCGGUGAAAUGCUUAGAUAUGACACAGAACACCGAUUGCGAAGGCAGCUGGCUAAACUAAAAUUGACGCUGAGGCACGAAAGUGUGGGGAUCAAACAGG
rnacentral:rRNA from 1 species